AAGUCGUAACAAGGUUUCCGUAGGUGAACCUGCGGAAGGAUCAUUAAAGAAAAAGCUGGCCGGAGCUGUAGCUGGCCCCCCCAACGGCGGGGGCACGUGCACGCCUCGGUCAACCAUUUCCAACCCACACCUGUGCACCUUUGCGUGGGAGGGCGUGCCUUCUUGGCCCGUCGCCUCACGUCUUUCUUUCAUCACGAAACCCAACUCGCAAGUUUUUGGAAUGUUUGUUGCAUACAUACAUAUACAACUUUCAACAACGGAUCUCUUGGCUCUC
rnacentral:misc_RNA from 1 species